rnacentral:rRNA from 1 species
AUUGAACGCUGGCGGCAUGCCUUACACAUGCAAGUCGAACGGCAGCAUGAUCUAGCUUGCUAGAUUGAUGGCGAGUGGCGAACGGGUGAGUCAUACAUCGGAACGUGCCCUGUUGGGGGGGAUAACUAGUCGAAAGAUUAGCUAAUACCGCAUACGACCUGAGGGUGAAAGGGGGGGGCCGCAAGGCCUCAGGCGAUAGGGGCGGCCGAGGUCGGAUUGGCUAGUUGGUGGGGUAAAGGCUCACCAAGGCGACGAUCAGUAGCUGGUCUGAGAGUACGAUCAGCGGCCUGAGGACGUAGACACGGCCAUGGGGCCUACGGGAGGCAGCAGUGUGGUAUGGUGGACAACGGGGGAAAGUCUGACACAGCAAUGCCGAGCCUGUUAAGGAGGCCCCCCGGUUGUAAAGCACGUCUGCCCGUAAUGAACCGGCUCCGGCUAAGACCUGGCGUGGGUGACGGUAACGGAUGAAUAAGGACCGGCUAACUACGUG